rnacentral:misc_RNA from 1 species
GGGCUUUGCCAUGGUCAUCAGGUCUGAUUUUCCUUCUCUCUGUCUCUGUUAAAUAUGACAUCUCUUUGAGCUGUCCAUUUAUUCUAAAAUUGACUGUCUGACAUGGAUAAAGCAAUUUGUUGAGGCUUUAGAUUAAAUAGAGGUCCCAAGUUCAAUUCCACUAAACUAUUAAUGCCUGUGAUGAUUGAAUGCAUAUUCCAAUUGAAAAUACAUGUGUUUGCUCAUUAUACUAUUUACGACUCACUCCCUCAUGACUUAAGUUCUCAUUAAUUGAAAAGAAAAAAAUAAGGGUUAUAUUCUAUGUGGAGCAAGCAGUGAGCAAAGCUGGGGGGAUAAGGUAAGGAAGAGAGAGGUUUUAGGACAUAUGAACGGGAAGCAGACAAAUGGAUUAUGGAGUUUUUGUUACUGUUAAGCAUAAUUCUUCAUUGUGGCCAUAACUAUGUUUUUAGGGAUUUAGCUUGCAGAAAGCCGAAUUCUCUUUUAGUUUAUGUGUUUAAUACUUGGUCUCUUUCCAAGGCUGUAAAUUCAAUACCCUGUUUUGUUGCUUUUGAAGCCAAACUUGUAGUGGAACAUUGUUUAUAGCCAAGAUAUCUACAAGCCAUUAGAGAGAGAGAGAGAGAGAG